GGGAAAGUUUGCAAAGAGAAGAGUGGGGAAAGGAGCCAGGGGAGAUUUCUGCGUGGCUGCUGUGGAGACGACCCGGAUGACUGAUGAGAUAUUUCAGGUUUGGCCUCUGGAAAAAAGUGUCUGGAUAAGGAUGUGUGGAGUCCAAAGACAUCCUGUUCAUGAACAGAGGUCCAGACGCAGUUUGGCUUCCAGGCCGAAUUCACCUUCAUUCCUGUCUAAGCCGGCAGUCAGGUUCCAGGUGCUUGAGGAGGUCAUACCUUAUGACCAGGCUUCACAAGCCACCUAUAUUUCAUGUUACCUUUUGUAGCAUCUAGUGCUUCUUCUCAAAAGCAGUUUUAACACAUUCACGUUAUGAAGCACAAAGAAGCCCACAAGGCUUGCAGUUGCCCAGCCUUGGGACCAAACAAAAAGCCUGGAGACAGUGACAGAGACAUCAAGAGUUUACUGGACACAGGGAUCUUACACAAAGGUCCUGGGGUGACACCCCACUGUGCACAGCAGACAGGAGACAGGAUGUGACAGAAGCCUUCACUACUCAGGGGAGAAGGACGCUUCCCUCUAUCAGGGGAAUUGACAUCAGGGGGCUUGUCGGUUACCGGGGCCAACCAUGCUUGUAAUGAAGAGGAUUGGGUAGUCAUUGUUCCAGAGGUCCCUGAACAGGCCUGAAUUUUUCUGGAAACACAGCCUAAGCUGUCCUUGGGACCCCAGCUACAAUGGGACUGGUUGACAGAGAAACACUGCCCUAAGGAAGACAGAAAGGGAGGGCAAGGUUUUAUAGCCAAGUGUUUCACAG
ensembl:lncRNA